rnacentral:rRNA from 1 species
AACGAACGCUGGCGGCAGGCUUAACACAUGCAAGUCGAACGCGUGUAGCAAUACACGAGUGGCGCACGGGGGAGUAACGCGUGGGAACCUACCCUUUGGUCUGGAAUAACUUCGGGAAACUGAUGCUAAUACCGGAUAAUCCCUAUGGGGCAAAGAUUUAUUGCCGAAGGAUGGGCCCGCGUUGGAUUAGCUAGUUGGUGAGGUAAUGGCUCACCAAGGCUACGAUCUAUAGCUGAUCUGAGAGGAUGAUCAGCCUCAUUGGGACUGAGACACGGCCCAGACUCCUACGGGAGGCAGCAGUGGGGAAUCUUAGACAAUGGGGGAAACCCUGAUCUAGCCAUGCCGCGUGAUCGAUGAAGGCCUUAGGGUUGUAAAGAUCUUUCAGUGGGGAAGAUAAUGACUGUACCCACAGAAGAAGCCCCGGCUAACUCCGUGCCAGCCGCCGCCGUAA